rnacentral:rRNA from 1 species
UACGAAGGGGGCUAGCGUUGCUCGGAAUCACUGGGCGUAAAGGGUGCGUAGGCGGGUCUUUUAAGUCAGGGGUGAAAUCCUGGAGCUCAACUCCAGAACUGCCUUUGAUACUGAAGAUCUUGAGUUCGGGAGAGGUGAGUGGAACUGCGAGUGUAGAGGUGAAAUUCGUAGAUAUUCGCAAGAACACCAGUGGCGAAGGCGGCUCACUGGCCCGAUACUGACGCUGAGGCACGAAAGCGUGGGGAGCAGACAGG